UACGUAGGGUGCAAGCGUUGUCCGGAAUUAUUGGGCGUAAAGGGCUCGUAGGCGGUUUGUCGCGUCGGGAGUGAAAACCUUGGGCUUAACUCAGGGCUUGCUUUCGAUACGGGCAGACUAGAGGUAUGCAGGGGAGAACGGAAUUCCUGGUGUAGCGGUGAAAUGCGCAGAUAUCAGGAGGAACACCGGUGGCGAAGGCGGUUCUCUGGGCAUGAUCUGACGCUGAGGAGCGAAAGUGUGGGGAGCGAACAGG
rnacentral:rRNA from 1 species